rnacentral:rRNA from 1 species
AGAGUUUGAUCCUGGCUCAGAUUGAACGCUGGCGGCAGGCCUAACACAUGCAAGUCGAACGGUAACAGGAAACAGCUUGCUGUUUCGCUGACGAGUGGCGGACGGGUGAGUAAUGUCUGGGAAACUGCCUGAUGGAGGGGGAUAACUACUGGAAACGGUAGCUAAUACCGCAUAACGUCGCAAGACCAAAGAGGGGGACCUUCGGGCCUCUUGCCAUCGGAUGUGCCCAGAUGGGAUUAGCUUGUUGGUGGGGUAACGGCUCACCAAGGCGACGAUCCCUAGCUGGUCUGAGAGGAUGACCAGCCACACUGGAACUGAGACACGGUCCAGACUCCUACGGGAGGCAGCAGUGGGGAAUAUUGCACAAUGGGCGCAAGCCUGAUGCAGCCAUGCCGCGUGUAUGAAGAAGGCCUUCGGGUUGUAAAGUACUUUCAGCGGGGAGGAAGGGAGUAAAGUUAAUACCUUUGCUCAUUGACGUUACCCGCAGAAGAAGCACCGGCUAACUCCGUGCCAGCAGCCGCGGUAAUACGGAGGGUGCAAGCGUUAAUCGGAAUUACUGGGCGUAAAGCGCACGCAGGCGGUUUGUUAAGUCAGAUGUGAAAUCCCCGGGCUCAACCUGGGAACUGCAUCUGAUACUGGCAAGCUUGAGUCUCGUAGAGGGGGGUAGAAUUCCAGGUGUAGCGGUGAAAUGCGUAGAGAUCUGGAGGAAUACCGGUGGCGAAGGCGGCCCCCUGGACGAAGACUGACGCUCAGGUGCGAAAGCGUGGGGAGCAAACAGGAUUAGAUACCCUGGUAGUCCACGCCGUAAACGAUGUCGACUUGGAGGUUGUGCCCUUGAGGCGUGGCUUCCGGAGCUAACGCGUUAAGUCGACCGCCUGGGGAGUACGGCCGCAAGGUUAAAACUCAAAUGAAUUGACGGGGGCCCGCACAAGCGGUGGAGCAUGUGGUUUAAUUCGAUGCAACGCGAAGAACCUUACCUGGUCUUGACAUCCACGGAAGUUUUCAGAGAUGAGAAUGUGCCUUCGGGAACCGUGAGACAGGUGCUGCAUGGCUGUCGUCAGCUCGUGUUGUGAAAUGUUGGGUUAAGUCCCGCAACGAGCGCAACCCUUAUCCUUUGUUGCCAGCGGUCCGGCCGGGAACUCAAAGGAGACUGCCAGUGAUAAACUGGAGGAAGGUGGGGAUGACGUCAAGUCAUCAUGGCCCUUACGACCAGGGCUACACACGUGCUACAAUGGCGCAUACAAAGAGAAGCGACCUCGCGAGAGCAAGCGGACCUCAUAAAGUGCGUCGUAGUCCGGAUUGGAGUCUGCAACUCGACUCCAUGAAGUCGGAAUCGCUAGUAAUCGUGGAUCAGAAUGCCACGGUGAAUACGUUCCCGGGCCUUGCACUCACCGCCCGUCA